rnacentral:lncRNA from 1 species
AAUAUUCAUCAAAACUCUUCCAACAUAUUUAUAAGGUAAAAUGAAGUUUGAUGAAUAUCUCUUUGGGGAGGCUACAUAUAAGAUAGUCUUAGGGUAAAGUUUGUUUAACGAGUGUUUUUAUAGUAAAAUAUGAUUACUUAACACCUUGAGUUUAUUAUAAAACCGAGGUGAAUAAUUCUUUUUUUUUUUGUAAUUACAUUGUUUACACAUAAUAUUAAAAUACAUUGUUUACAACGAAUCUUCGGUGAUAUCCAAAUUUUGUUGCAUAUCCUUUAAAAUAAUUUUU